UACGGAGGGUGCAAGCGUUAUCCGGAUUCACUGGGCUUAAAGGGUGCGUAGGCGGGCAGGUAAGUCAGGGGUGAAAUCCCCGAGCUUAACUUGGGAACUGCCGUUGAUACUAUCUGUCUUGAAUAUCGUGGAGGUUAGCGGAAUAUGUCAUGUAGCGGUGAAAUGCAUAGAGAUGACAUAGAACACCAAUUGCGAAGGCAGCUGGCUGCACGGUAAUUGACACUGAGGCACGAAAGCGUGGGGAGCAAACAGG
rnacentral:rRNA from 1 species